UAUCGAAGUUGCUCGUUUAUGGCAGGCUUUAGUUCAAGAUGAUGAUGUUAGAGUUCCCUAUGGAAAGGCUCAUGACAAUGCUAGACAAAUUGUCGAAGAUUAUGAUGCACUUACUCUCCUAAACAAUAAGUUGAAAGAUUUGACGGAACCCAAAGACAUUUCCUUAUUACUUUGUUGUUUGAGCAGUUUAUCCGUUCGAAAUGAGUAUUGUAAAAAAGUGGCAGAUGAUGGAGGUCUCAACAUAAUUUUAAAAGUCCUUGUGGACCCUGAUCAGGAUAAAAAUGUCAUCAAGGAAUCACUCAAAUUAGUCAAAACACUCGCUGGAAAUGAUGAUGUCAAACGGGAUAUCGGAAACACAAAGGAAUUCCAUUCAUUGUCAAUUCCAUUUCAAAAAAUUUAAAAAACAAGUCCAUAUGUCAAGUGGGCUGUGAUUCCCUGACUGCCCUAUCUUUAAGAAGUCCUGAGAACGCAAAACAAAUAGUGGAUUGCGGUGGAGAUGGAGUUAUUAUUGAAAUAAUGAAGGCUCAUAAGUCGAUAGCUGAAAUUGUGAUUGCAGCCUCUUAUGCUAUUCGUAAUAUUGUAAGCCGACCUCCUGAAUAUUGCAACAAUGUCAUUCAAUUAAAUGUCGAAGAUCUUCUAUUCUUUUAACCAAAUAUACUAAGUAAUAUAAUAAAACAGUAUCUAAUAAAAAAAUUUUAAAUC
rnacentral:lncRNA from 1 species